CCAGUGUCUGAUUUCCGGUUAUAGUCACGAUGGUGCACAGACUUCGAUUCGCACAACGUUAUUAUAUGGAUUGAUUGGGCAUGCUGGAUGACUUGGGAUAUACCUUCUAGUGUCGCUCCAGAUAUUGAAGCAUUGACAAUGUUAUCGUUCUGUAUCUCGAGACGUUUACAAUUAGAAGCACCCAGGAUCAAAGAUCUAGACCACUGCAUUUCAGCUAUCGGCCAAAUACCAUAUGCAAUGUCAUACAAUUUUUUUUUAAGAUUAAUCAUUGGAGUGUUUGAUCCAUGCAACCUGGGUCAAGAACAUUUCUUUUCGCAAAGUUAAUGGCACUACAUUGGAUUACAACUUGACUCCAAAAUGAGAAAACUUCAUGCUUAUACACCUACCUUUUCCUAACAAAAUUGAUUCAGAGGAAUUUUGGCUCUAUAUUGAAAAUAGAUUUUGAAGAUGUCUGCUGUGGUUGCCACUUUGGACUAAACUCCAGAUGAAAAGAAAAGGUCUGGACCAUACACUGUUAAUAUCAAAUAAAUGUCAGCCAAAUCA